CGUAGGGUGCGAGCGUUAAUCGGAAUUACUGGGCGUAAAGCGUGCGCAGGCGGUUUAGUAAGACAGGCGUGAAAUCCCCGGGCUCAACCUGGGAACUGCGCUUGUGACUGCUAAGCUAGAGUACGGCAGAGGGGGGUGGAAUUCCACGUGUAGCAGUGAAAUGCGUAGAGAUGUGGAGGAACACCAAUGGCGAAGGCAGCCCCCUGGGUCGAUACUGACGCUCAUGCACGAAAGCGUGGGUAGCAAACAGGAUUAGAUACCCUGGUAGUCCACGCCCUAAACGAUGUCAACUAGGUGUUGGGUGGGUAAAACCAUUUAGUACCGGAGCUAACGCGUGAAGUUGACCGCCUGGGGAGUACGGCCGCAAGGUUA
rnacentral:rRNA from 1 species